CAAAGACAUGUUCUCCAACAGAUACAAAGCAAAACAUAUUUAUACAAUUUUUCAGCAGAUUCAUGGUUACAUAAGUUCUUUUACAUAAAAAUGCAUAGAAUGCUCGCUUCUUAAUUUGACCUUUAUGAUGAUUGGUUUUAUCAAUUAUCCAGAUUUCUAUUCUAAAGUAAUCAUCGGUUAACUGUACUGAUUGUAAUCCUUGAUAUUCAAAUCAAAGAGGGAAGGGCAGUGAUUAGCAUAUUCAUGUUAUUUCCUGGAAAUAAUUAUCAUAUGCAAAUGUCUCUAAUGCAUGCAUGGUUAAUUUUUGGACAGGCGUCCUCUGGUGGUCGUCGAUAGUCUCCUUCACUGUGUCCUGUGUCCGCUGACUGAACUCCAUCCUUGCACGCAUCCAUUUCAACCUCUGGCUGAUCUUCCAAACCAAGGCCAGUUUCUUCUGGUACCCAUUGUUUUCAUUCAGAGUCCAUUAUGAUUUCCACAGUAAUUGAGGCAAACACAAUACCAGUUACUUGUUUCUAAGGACCUCGACAUACCCUAUGUUCUCAUAGCUGCUAUAACUCUAUAUCACCCAUAAAACCAAAAAUCAAAAUCAUAUUCUAAGAUUCAAGCUAUUUCGCUAGGGUAAUUGUAACAGUCUCAAGUCAACAGCAUACGUACUUGACCCCUAUGUUUUAUUUUCUCCAAUAUGAAAAAGAGUAAGAAAAUGAAGUAAUUUAUACCUACUUUAUUACUUGUUCUCAGAGUUCUAGCAGAAAUUUUAAUUUAAUUCCUGAACAUGGAUAUUUCAAAAUACUAGCAGUAAAUGUAGAAUAUGUCUGUAAUAACUGCUUGUUUUCAAAUAAGGUUAUACAUUUUAUCUCAGAGCAGAGAUUUAUACAAAGCAAGUGUAUUAACAUAUUUGGGGUUGGGUGCCUGUUUUCAGAAAAUUUCUUACACUCUUCAACUAACCAUUCUUAUUUUUUAAUUAAAUCACUCAAAUCAUUGUAGCAAACCAUUUGAACUGUUUAACAUCCUUCUUUGAAGUACUAUUGCUUCAAGCAUCUAAAGUUAAUGAAUUGGUCUCCUAAAAAAAAAACAUUUGUAGGGGCUGGGGAGUGCCACUUGUUUUUUAGAGUUUUCUGGCAUUGCAAUUGAUAUUUUCCAGUCUAAUAAUGAAAGCAAGCAAGUAGCUGAGGUUCUGGUGUGUUCAAAUAAUCUUCAGGGUCUAAGGACCAUGUUAAGAAGACCAAGUAUCACAGGCUUUGUAAUAAAAUCUCACAAACUGUCAUUUUUUUCUUGUCUGUAUUGGGUGCAUAUUUUUUUCCUUUCUGUACUUUGCUGCAGCAUUAAAUUGUAAAUUUCUUAGGAUGAGAUAUUUAGUUAGCAUGUGGCUUCAAUAAAUACAUGGAACUAUUCUUUGUUAUUUUACUUGAGCUAGUGUUUUGGGAAGGUUAGAAACUGAAUACCCAGAUUUAAUCAUGGGAGGAAUUAUUUUAAUGCUAGAGAAUAAUGUCAAACACUGUAUACAUGACCAGCUGUAAUAACCACAGAUGUCUAACCCUGAUAUCCCUGAUGAAGAUUUAUGGUGCUGUCUCCUACUGCUAACUUUGUAGUAAACAGUGUCUUCGAUGCUUGAAUAGAUUUUUCUCCACAAACCUGCUGUACUGUGAUGGUAGAUAGCCAAAACAAAACCACUGUAAAAUUAAAAUUUAUGUAAAGAUAGAAUGUACAAGAAUAAAAUUAUUAGUCCAAAUCAUACUAAUUAAUUCCAUUACCCCAGUCUUGCUGUAAUAAUACGUAGCUGCUAACCUUUCAGUCAGCCCAGUCUGUCCCAGCCUCAAGCCCUGCACCAUCUAGAAACUUAAAGGCAAACCCACAUAUGAAACUUCUUGAUGGAAAAGCAGAAGUCUUUGCCAAGGAUGUAUUUCCCCCCAAAAAGGGUGCAGAUAUAAAAUAUUAGGGAGUAUAAAACAUAUGUU